UGGCGGACGGGUGAGUAAUGUCUGGGAAACUGCCUGAUGGAGGGGGAUAACUACUGGAAACGGUAGCUAAUACCGCAUAACGUCGAAAGACCAAAGAGGGGGACCUUCGGGCCUCUUGCCAUCGGAUGUGCCCAGAUGGGAUUAGCUAGUAGGUGAGGUAACGGCUCACCUAGGCGACGAUCCCUAGCUGGUCUGAGAGGAUGACCAGCCACACUGGAACUGAGACACGGUCCAGACUCCUACGGGAGGCAGCAUG
rnacentral:rRNA from 1 species